GCCAUCCUAGCUCAGCGGUAGAGCAACGGUUUUGUAAACCGUAGGUCGUGGGUUCGAAUCCCACGGAUGGCU
rfam:Candidate division WWE3 bacterium RIFCSPLOWO2_01_FTLL_37_15 rifcsplowo2_01_scaffold_34238, whole genome shotgun sequence.